rnacentral:misc_RNA from 1 species
GAUGAAGAACGCAGCGAAAUGCGAUAAGUAGUGUGAAUUGCAGAAUUCAGUGAUUCAUCGAAUCUUUGAACGCACAUUGCGCCUCCUGGUAUUCCGGGAGGCAUGCCUGUUCGAGCGUCAUUAAAAUCACUCAAGCUUAGGUUUACCUAUUGCUUGGUCUUGGAGAUGGAAGCCAAUUUAUUGGAAUCCUCUUCGAAAUUCAAUGGCGAAGACCCUUGCUCUCCCAAGUGUAGUAAUAACUUAUGUCACUGAAGGAAGCGAGAAAUCUUCUGCCGUAACCCCCAUAUUUUCUAUGAUUGACCUCGGAUCAGGUAGGGAUACCCGCUGAACUUAAGCAUAUCAAUAAGCGGAGGA